rnacentral:rRNA from 1 species
AGCGAACGCUGGCGGCAGGCUUAACACAUGCAAGUCGAGCGGGCAUAGCAAUAUGUCAGCGGCAGACGGGUGAGUAACGCGUGGGAACGUACCUUUUGGUUCGGAACAACACAGGGAAACUUGUGCUAAUACCGGAUAAGCCCUUACGGGGAAAGAUUUAUCGCCGAAAGAUCGGCCCGCGUCUGAUUAGCUAGUUGGUGAGGUAAUGGCUCACCAAGGCGACGAUCAGUAGCUGGUCUGAGAGGAUGAUCAGCCACAUUGGGACUGAGACACGGCCCAAACUCCUACGGGAGGCAGCAGUGGGGAAUAUUGGACAAUGGGCGCAAGCCUGAUCCAGCCAUGCCGCGUGAGUGAUGAAGGCCCUAGGGUUGUAAAGCUCUUUUGUGCGGGAAGAUAAUGACGGUACCGCAAGAAUAAGCCCCGGCUAACUUCGUGCCAGCAGCCGCGGUAAUACGAAGGGGGCUAGCGUUGCUCGGAAUCACUGGGCGUAAAGGGUGCGUAGGCGGGUCUUUAAGUCAGGGGGUGAAAUCCUGGAGCUCAACUCCAGAACUGCCUUUGAUACUGAAGAUCUUGAGUUCGGGAGAGGUGAGUGGAACUGCGAGUGUAGAGGUGAAAUUCGUAGAUAUUCGCAAGAACACCAGUGGCGAAGUGGCUCACUGGCCCGAUACUGACGCUGAGGCACGAAAGCGUGGGGAGCAAACAGG